AGUGAACGCUGGCGGUAGGCCUAACACAUGCAAGUCGAACGGCAGCACAGUACGUGCUCGCUCUUACGGGUGGCGAGUGGCGGACGGGUGAGGAAUACAUCGGAAUCUACUUUUUCGUGGGGGAUAACGCGGGGAAUCUUACGCUAAUACCGCAUACGACCUACGGGUGAAAGCAGGGGAUCUUCGGACCUUGCGCGAUUGAAUGAGCCGAUGUCGGAUUAGCUAGUUGGCGGGGUAAAGGCCCACCAAGGCGACGAUCCGUAGCUGGUCUGAGAGGAUGAUCAGCCACACUGGAACUGAGACACGGUCCAGACUCCUACGGGAGGCAGCAGUGGGGAAUAUUGGACAAUGGGCGCAAGCCUGAUCCAGCCAUGCCGCGUGGGUGAAGAAGGCCUUCGGGUUGUAAAGCCCUUUUGUUUGGAAAGAAAAGCAGCAGGUUAAUACCCCGCUGUUCUGACGGUACCCAAAGAAUAAGCACCGGCUAACUUCGUG
rnacentral:rRNA from 1 species